rnacentral:rRNA from 1 species
AUUGAACGCUGGCGGCAGGCCUAACACAUGCAAGUCGAGCGAGCGGCGGACGGGUGAGUCCUGUAUGGGGACUGCCCGUUAGAGGGGGCGAACUACUGCAAACGGUGGUUCAUCCUGCAUACUGUCGGGUUACCUAUAUGGGAUUAGCUAGUAGGUAAGGUAAUGGCGUACCUAGGCGACGAUCCCUAGCUGGUCUGAGAGGAUGAUCAGCCACACUGGGACUGAGACACGGCCCAGACUCCUACGGAGGCAGCAGUGGGGAAUAUUGCACAAUGGGCGCAAGCCUGAUGCAGCCAUGCCGCGUGUAUGAAGAAGGCCCUAGGGUUGUAAAGUACUUUCAGUCGGGAGGCGUUACCGACAGAAGAAGCACCGGCUAACUCCGUGCCAGCAGCCGCGGUAAUUC